ensembl:lncRNA
GGCAUGGUGAUCUUUACUGUAAGCAUGGCGUGCUUUACUGUAGACAUGGUGUUCUCUACUGUAAGCAUGGUGUUCUUUACUGUAAGCAUGGUGUCCUUUACUGUAGACAUGGUGUGCUUUGCUGUAAGCAUGGUGUUCUUUACUGUAGGCAUGGUGUUCUUUACUGUAGCCAUGGUGUGCUUUACUGUAAGCAUGGUGUUCUUUACUGUAAGCAUGGUGUUCUUUACUGUAAGCAUGGUGUUCUUUACUGUAAGCAUGGUGUUCUUUACAGUAGACAUGGUGUUCUUUACUGUAGACAUGGUGUUCUUUACUGUAGACAUGGUGUUCUUUACAGUAGACAUGGUGUUCUUUACUGUAGACAUGGUGUUCUUUACUGUAGGCAUGGUGUUCUUUACAGUAGACAUGGUGUUCUUUACUGUAGACAUGGUGUUCUUUACUGUAG